rnacentral:rRNA from 1 species
AGCGAACGCUGGCGGCAGGCUUAACACAUGCAAGUCGAGCGGGCAUCCUUGUGGUGUCAGCGGCAGACGGGUGAGUAACGCGUGGGAACGUGCCCUUCGGUUCGGAAUAACUCAGGGAAACUUGAGCUAAUACCGGAUACGUGCGAGAGCAGAAAGGUUUAUCUGCCGAAGGAUCGGCCCGCGUCUGAUUAGCUAGUUGGUGAGGUUAUGGCUCACCAAGGCGACGAACAGUAGCUGGUCUGAGAGGAUGAUCAGCCACACUGGGACUGAGACACGGCCCAGACUCCUACGGGAGGCAGCAGUGGGGAAUAUUGGACAAUGGGGGCAACCCUGAUCCAGCCAUGCCGCGUGAGUGAUGACGGCCUUAGGGUUGUAAAGCUCUUUUCUCCGGGACGAUAAUGACGGUACCGGAGGAAUAAGCCCCGGCUAACUUCGUG